rnacentral:rRNA from 1 species
UUGAACGCUGGCGGCAUGCCUUACACAUGCAAGUCGAACGGCAGCGCGGGCUUCGGCCUGGCGGCGAGUGGCGAACGGGUGAGUAACAUAUCGGAACGUGCCCUGGAGUGGGGGAUAACUAGUCGAAAGACUAGCUAAUACCGCAUACGAUCCUAGGAUGAAAGUGGGGGACCGCAAGGCCUCAUGCUCCUGGAGCGGCCGAUAUCUGAUUAGCUAGUUGGUGGGGUAAAGGCCUACCAAGGCGACGAUCAGUAGCUGGUCUGAGAGGACGACCAGCCACACUGGGACUGAGACACGGCCCAGACUCCUACGGGAGGCAGCAGUGGGGAAUUUUGGACAAUGGGGGCAACCCUGAUCCAGCAAUGCCGCGUGUGUGAAGAAGGCCUUCGGGUUGUAAAGCACUUUUGUCCGGAAAGAAAUCGCUCUGGUUAAUACCUGGGGUGGAUGACGGUACUGGAAGAAUAAGCACCGGCUAACUACGU